rnacentral:rRNA from 1 species
CGCACGGGUGAGUAACACGUAUCCAACCUGCCGUCUACUCUUGGACAGCCUUCUGAAAGGAAGAUUAAUACAAGAUGGCAUCAUGAGUCCGCAUGUUCACAUGAUUAAAGGUAUUCCGGUAGACGAUGGGGAUGCGUUCCAUUAGAUAGUAGGCGGGGUAACGGCCCACCUAGUCUUCGAUGGAUAGGGGUUCUGAGUGGAAGGUCCCCCACAUUGGAACUGAGACACGGUCCAA